UUUGCCCAAUAGCACUCCUAAACUAAUAUUGCAGGGGGAGAUGGGGAGGAAAGAUUUGUGGACACACCGAACAACUGGGGUAGGUAGGAACAAUCCAAUCUAUUGCAUAUUGUUGGACUAAAUUAGGCCGGCGCCGAGAUCCCAAGAAAGCUCGGGCGUUUACUACGAAGAGAAGCGAAAGUUUUCUUUCAAGGCUUAUUGAUAUCUGACCCUGAUUCCGCUUGUGACUUCGUGCCCCGGCCACUCCGACCUUCCAGGGCGCUUCUCAGUCUAGCAUUCGCCAAGACUCGCUCCAGCGGCUACUGAUUUACAAGACGAAAUUAUUUUCCUACGUACGGAAUGUAUGCACGUCCAGGGUCCCUCCAUAUUUAGAUGACAACCAUUUUGUCCAUGAUGCAUCUCUCAGACAGCUUGAAUUUGCCCUUUGGGCUAGAAGGCUGCUUGAUAGAGAGAAUGAAGAGUUCCCAAAGGAACAGAAGCAAGACUUCAUUGGGUGGGGAAAAAAAAAAAGGAACUCUAAGGUACAUAUGGAAACACUCAAGAUGGCCCUCCUCAAGAUGUUGGAGAAUGAGAGAGAAAGGAGAAAAAAAAAAAGAGGCAACUGUGCAAUAAAAGAUUGGAUUGGAAAUCGCCUUAGUUCCAAAGAAUUUGCUGGUUUGGGAAUAACAAAGCAAUCCUUCAGUUGGACUCUGAUCAGGAAGAGCCACCGACUCAGUGGAUCCUUCAAAGGGCAUCAUCCUUUUUACUCUUCCCAUUUACUGUGAGUGGUAGGAGACUUCAAGAUUCUCUGGAGGGGUGAGUACAGGACUUCUUGGGCAGAAACGGCAAGCUGUGAGCCCAUGGCAGCUAAAUAGCACAGGCUUGGGUUUAGGAGAAAGGAAUACAUGUUUGUUAAGUGCCUAAUAUGUGCCAAGGGGGAGGUAGGUGGUACAGUGGAUAGAGCAAGGAAC